AAGAAGCUCGUGAAAUUUGGUAAACACAACGGACUUAAAAUCCGUAAGUUUUUUA
rnacentral:tRNA from 1 species